UGGGGAAUAUUGGACAAUGGGCGCAAGCCUGAUCCAGCCAUGCCGCGUGGGUGAAGAAGGCCUUCGGGUUGUAAAGCCCUUUUGUUGGGAAAGAAAUCCUGUCGGCUAAUACCCGGCGGGGAUGACGGUACCCAAAGAAUAAGCACUGGCUAACUUCGUGCCAGCAGCCGCGGUAAUACGAAGGGUGCAAGCGUUACUCGGAAUUACUGGGCGUAAAGCGUGCGUAGGCGGUUCGUUAAGUCUGUCGUGAAAGCCCUGGGCUCAACCUGGGAAUUGCGAUGGAUACUGGCGAGCUAGAGUACGGUAGAGGAUGGUGGAAUUCCCGGUGUAGCGGUGAAAUGCGUAGAGAUCGGGAGGAACACCCGUGGCGAAGGCGGCCAUCUGGACCAGUACUGACGCUGAGGCACGAAAGCGUGGGGAGCAAACA
rnacentral:rRNA from 1 species